CCUACGGGAGGCUGCAGUGAGGAAUAUUGGUCAAUGGACGAGAGUCUGAACCAGCCAAGUAGCGUGAAGGAUGACUGCCCUAUGGGUUGUAAACUUCUUUUAUAUGGGAAUAAAAUGUUCCACGUGUGGGAUUUUGUAUGUACCAUAUGAAUAAGGAUCGGCUAACUCCGUGCCAGCAGCCGCGGUAAUACGGAGGAUCCGAGCGUUAUCCGGAUUUAUUGGGUUUAAAGGGAGCGUAGGUGGAUUGUUAAGUCAGUUGUGAAAGUUUGUGGCUCAACCGUAAAAUUGCAGUUGAAACUGGCAGUCUUGAGUACAGUAGAGGUGGGCGGAAUGCGUGGUGUAGCGGUGAAAUGCUUAGAUAUCACGAAGAACUCCGAUUGCGAAGGCAGUUCACUGGACUGCAACUGACACUGAGGCUCGAAAGUGUGGGUAUCAAACAGGAUUAGAUACCCUGGUAGUC
rnacentral:rRNA from 1 species